rnacentral:rRNA from 1 species
AUUGAACGCUGGCGGCAGGCCUAACACAUGCAAGUCGAGCCAGCGGCGGACGGUUGAGUAAUGCCUGGGAAUUGCCCAGUCGAGGGGGAUAACAGUUGGCACAGACUGCUAAUACCGCAUACGAUUUGAUUGCCCAGGUGGGAUUAGCUAGUUGGUGAGGUAAUGGCUUACCAAGGCGACGAUCCCUAUCCGGUCUGAGAGGAUGAGCAGCCACUGUGGAAAUGAGGCACGGUCCAGGAACCUACGGUAGGCAGCAGUGGGGAAUAGUGCACAAUGGGGGAAACCCUGAUGCAGCCAUGCCGCGUGUGUGAAGAAGUCCUUCGGGUUUUAAAGCACUUUCAGCGAGGAGGCGUGACUCGCAGAAGAAGCACCGGCUAACUCCGUGCCAGCAGCCGCGGUAAUUC